CCCAGCUGGCGGGGAGCGGAGCCAGAGACAGAAGAGGAGCGAAAAGUUUCCCCGGAGUCUUCAUUACUUGACGUCCCCGUCCGCGGCUCACCCCGGCCGGCAGAGCUCGCCCCCAAUAAAGGAAGGAGGGAGGUCUUUAUUUUUUUUAAGGCCCCGAAGAGUCCGGUGUUUACAAGACGAGAAAUGCCGCGGCCACGUCCUGGCAGGGAGAAAGGCUGAAAUGGAGGACCGACGCCUUCCUUAUAAGGGAAAAUAUUUUCAAUCUUCUCAUUCCCAACCUGAACCGACCUCCACAGACCCAGCCUGGCUUUUGCCCCUACCCAGGUGUCCCUGGGGAGGAAGACCCCAAGAAAGAAGGCCGAUUUGGGAUCAAAGGGGGCUUUACUCUGCACCUACUGUCCACUUGGGGAUAACAAUUAACUUGGUUUUGAUAAUAUCCUGUGUUCCUCUCUCUGGCCUCACCUGCCAAGGCUCUGUGACCCCAGUGGCCUUGGACUGAGAGUGAAACCUUCGAUUGUGGGGGACAUGGGGAGAGUAGAGCCCACUGCUUCUGAGAUGGAGUUCAGCUCAUUGGGGCAUGAUUCAGCACCCGACCUGGUAGAAAAAGCAACCACAAAGCCAGAGAGAAAGCCGAAAGAAGGAAGAGAGCGCCAGAUGGAGAUGAAAGUGAACCACAGAGAAAUGCAGGGAAAGAAGCAAGGCGGCAGGUCCCUGAACAAGAACAAACGUGGCAGAGGGUGAGACAGGCACUCACGGACAGAGGUUUAUAUUUUUAAUUUUUAAAAAAAUCCAAUUUGGGGCUCCAUGAAGGAAAGAAAAAAUUUUGAGGAGAGGAGGAGAAGGAAUUAUCCAGGUCCCAGCUCACCACAUGAACUCCUGCAGGAGAAAACUCUGGAUAAACCCAAGCGGGCACCAGGGCAGCACCUGGCCACCUGGCUACGGUCAUGCCCCACACGCUGCCAGGCCGGGUCGGGCCCUGGAUAGCACCCCUUGCCCCCCACUUCCCACUCCCGCCUCCACUUCCUCACUCUCCUUAUCAUCUCGAUCUUCAUGACGAGGCUUGUUAACAAGACCAGCGAGCUGGCCACGCACAUCUAUCUCAGGCGCGCGCUCAGCCGAGCAGUGGCCGGCGGGGGGACUGGGAGGCGCUAAUUAAUUGAUUCCUUUGGACUGUAAAAUACGGCCGCGUCUACACGGAACCCAUAGACUCAUAAACAAUAUCUCUGCUGAGUGUGAGUGCACAGUCUCUCAAAGAAUUUUUCCAUAGGCAUGUGUCCUGGAUUUUUAGUUGAGAAGGAAAGACUCAAGUGGGACUAUUCUUUAGGGGACAAAAACAGAGUCAUCUUGGUGCCAGAAAAAUGUCUCUCCAAAAGCCUUGAGUGUGGGCUUUGUUGGGAAAUUUUUUUCUGCUGUUUGUGUAUACCUGGUCCAGUUUAAGGAUGGGAACUGGAUCUGAUAGGCAGAGUAGGCCAGAAGCUUCCCUGCCCUGGCUGGGUGCCGAGGAGUGGGGCUGCUCCCGGAUUUGAGAGGGACAUAGAAGCUGAAGUCCAGUCUUUGCUUCAUGCUGCUCCCUUGACUCAGGAUUUUAAAAAAUAAAUUUCAAAAUUAAACAAACUUUAACCUUUGGGAGUUUGUGAGCACCCAGCACACACCCGGGGAUCCACCUGCCUGUUACAUACCUUAUCAGGCCACUGUGGCACCCCUUUUCCUAACCGGCAGCACAGAGUAACUAUACUACACUUAUUUUAGGUGUAGAAGAAUGGGUCUUGAGACACGUGGGGUGACCUAAUUAUAUAACGUUGUUUCCACAUGGCUGUGAUUAUGCAGUUGGACCCUGCAGCAAACAGAAUUUUGUGCUCUGAAUAUAGACCCCCACUUGAGACAAGAAAUGCAACAGAAAUAGAAAUAGAAGAAGACAUAUAAAUAAUGCAUUUAAAAGGGGGGGGGUUAAAGGACAAAAAUAAUAGAAAGACAGAAAAAGGCUCAACAGAUGAAGAUUGUCAUUGCAAAUGCCUGAGCUUCCUCCUGCUAUUGUUUUUAAGAUCACCAGAGAAAUGUGUAUGAUAAAUACAAUCGGUGAACCUGAAGAAUGUACUUCCAGUGUAUUUGGUACAUACCAUGUAUAAAAACAUAAUUUACAGAGUAUAUCUACUGGGUAGAUCUGCACUUUGUGUAAGUAUAACAAUAUGAUGUAUUGUCUAUGCUGUUUUUAAUGUGGAUAUAUGAUCUGGAUGCGUUUUCCAUUUCCAUUUUAUAUGCCCCAUGGAGUAUAUAUGCACACAUAGCUCAGUAGACUCAGGAAUGCACAUUCCCUGUGUAGGAUAUAUGUAUGUGUAGUGUUUAUAUGUGUAAAUAAAAUUUUACAUGUGGUGAAUAUACAUGCUAUAUAUAAUCUUUUCCUGUUA